AUUGGAAGUAAAAGUCGUAACAAGGUUUCCGUAGGUGAACCUGCGGAAGGAUCAUUAUUGAAUGAACUUGACUUGGUUGCUGCUGGUCUUUUCAAAGGCAUGUGCACACCUUGUCAUCUUUAUAUCUCCACCUGUGCACCUUUUGUAGGCCUGGAUUCAACAUUCCGAGGCAACUCGGUCGUGAGGAAUUGCUUCACAGCUUUCCUUGUAAGUUUCCAGGCCUAUGUUUUUCAUAUACACCAUAAGAAUGUAACAGAAUGUCAUUAUUAGACUUCAUUGUCUUAUAAACUAUAUACAACUUUCAGCAACGGAUCUCUUGGCUCUCGCAUCGAUGAAGAACGCAGCGAAAUGCGAUAAGUAAUGUGAAUUGCAGAAUUCAGUGAAUCAUCGAAUCUUUGAACGCACCUUGCGCUCCUUGGUAUUCCGAGGAGCAUGCCUGUUUGAGGGUCAUUAAAUUCUCAACCUUUGUCAACUUUUUUGGUUGACCAAUGGCUUGGAUGUGGGGGUUUUGCAGGUUUCUCUUUUGAAAUCAGCUCCCCUGAAAUGUAUUAGCUGGUUGCGUUGUGUAGACCUGUCUAUUGGUGUGAUAAUUAUCUACGCCGUGGACUGUUUGCCAUUUUAGCACUGCUUCUAACUGUCUGUUCAUUCAGACGAUAUAUGACAAUUGACCUCAAAUCAGUAG
rnacentral:rRNA from 1 species